rnacentral:rRNA from 1 species
GAAUUCGCCCUUAGAGUUUGUAUCCUGGCUCAGGACGAACGCUGGCGGCACGCUUAACACAUGCAAGUCGAACGAGAGAAGAGAAGCUUGCUUUUCUGAUCUAGUGGCGGACGGGGUGAGUAACACGUGAGCAAUCUGCCUUUCAGAGGGGGAUACCGAUUGGAAACGAUCGUUAAUACCGCAUAACAUAAUUGAACCGCGUGAUUUGAUUAUCAAAGAUUUAUCGCUGAAAGAUGAGCUCGCGUCUGAUUAGCUAGUUGGUAAGGUAACGGCUUACCAAGGCGACGAUCAGUAGCCGGACUGAGAGGUUGAUCGGCCACAUUGGGACUGAGACACGGCCCAGACUCCUACGGGAGGCAGCAGUGGGGAAUAUUGCACAAUGGAGGAAACUCUGAUGCAGCGAUGCCGCGUGAGGGAAGAAGGUUUUAGGAUUGUAAACCUCUGUCUUCGGGGACGAAAAAAGACGGUACCUGAGGAGGAAGCUCCGGCUAACUACGUGCCAGCAGCCGCGGUAAUACGUAGGGAGCGAGCGUUGUCCGGAAUUACUGGGUGUAAAGGGAGCGUAGGCGGGAUCGCAAGUCAGAUGUGAAAACUAUGGGCUUAACCCAUAAACUGCAUUUGAAACUGUGGUUCUUGAGUGAAGUAGAGGUAAGCGGAAUUCCUAGUGUAGCGGUGAAAUGCGUAGAUAUUAGGAGGAACAUCAGUGGCGAAGGCGGCUUACUGGGCUUUAACUGACGCUGAGGCUCGAAAGCGUGGGGAGCAAACAGGAUUAGAUACCCUGGUAGUCCACGCCGUAAACGAUGAUUACUAGGUGUGGGGGGACUGACCCCUUCCGUGCCGCAGCAAACGCAAUAAGUAAUCCACCUGGGGAGUACGACCGCAAGGUUGAAACUCAAAGGAAUUGACGGGGGCCCGCACAAGCAGUGGAGUAUGUGGAUUAAUUCGAAGCAACGCGAAGAACCUUACCAGGUCUUGACAUCCUUCUGACCGGUCCUUAACCGGACUUUUCCUUCGGGACAGGAGUGACAGGUGGUGCAUGGUUGUCGUCAGCUCGUGUCGUGAGAUGUUGGGUUAAGUCCCGCAACGAGCGCAACCCCUAUCUUUAGUAGCCAGCAUUUCAGGUGGGCACUCUAGAGAGACUGCCAGGGAUAACCUGGAGGAAGGUGGGGACGACGUCAAAUCAUCAUGCCCCUUAUGAUCUGGGCGACACACGUGCUACAAUGGCGGUCACAGAGUGAGGCGAACCCGCGAGGGGGAGCAAACCACAAAAAGGCCGUCCCAGUUCGGACUGUAGUCUGCAACCCGACUACACGAAGCUGGAAUCGCUAGUAAUCGCGAAUCAGAAUGUCGCGGUGAAUACAAGGCCGGGUCUUGUACUCACCGCCCGUCA